GCUUCAGUACCUUUGUCUCCUGUGCCUGUCCUGGAAAUGUGCUGUCAUUGGGAGCUGGAGCAGAUUUUGUCAUGCUGGGAGGAAUGUUUUCGGGUCAUACGGAGUGUGCUGGAGAAGUGAUUGAGAGGAACGGACGGAAGCUCAAGCUCUUCUACGGGAUGAGCUCUGACACAGCCAUGAACAAGCAUGCAGGAGGAGUUGCUGAGUACAGAGCCUCUGAGGGUAAGACUGUGGAAGUGCCUUACAAAGGAGAUGUGGAAAACACUAUCCUGGAUAUUCUCGGGGGACUGAGGUCCACGUGCACCUACGUGGGGGCCGCCAAACUCAAGGAGCUCAGCAGGAGGGCAACAUUCAUCCGGGUGACCCAGCAGCACAACACCGUGUUCAGCUAACCCUGGGGACAAAGCGGCGUCUGGCUCGAGUGGAAGCGUCCAAACCUGCUUUUCCCAUCUCCCCCCCCAGUCUGUUCGUCAGAGCUUCUGGCUGCUCCUGAAUGGUGGAAUGCUGUGUCCUCUCUCCUGUCUCCUGCCGCCUGGAGGCUUCGGGGCUCUCCCGCCUGCCUUCUCGGGGCCCAGACGCAAGGCACCGAUUGGGCCAACAUCAGAGCCCUGCUGCCCAGAACUCAUAACCUCAUUGUUCAAACCAACACUUGCAUCUUUCUCUUUUUCUCUUUCUCUCCCCUUUCUUUGUUUUUCUUUCUUUUUUAAAAGAAGAUGGUUUCACUUUAAUAUAAUGCUAUUAUCUUAAGA
rnacentral:sRNA from 1 species